CGGAAGCUGGUCAAAAAUCAGGAAUUUGAUAAUAUUUUAAAUAAAAACGAAUUGAUUGCUUGGCAAUCAAUCAAAGAGGUUAUUGGCGGGUUGUUGGGUAGAAAUAGGUCUGACAGCUAUCAGAGAUCUGUUAACGCAAUGAUGAAUGCUUUUUCUAAAAUAGGCGUUUAUAUGUCGCUCAAAAUUCAUUACCUACAUUAUCAUCUAGACUACUUCGGUCAGCAACUAGCGACCGAAUCAGAUGAACAAGGUGAACAGUACCACCAAAUUGCAAUGCCAUUUGAAAUGAGUCUCCCGAUGCUGUAUUAGCGGAAAUUUGUUGGUGGAGCAAGAACUUGCAUUACGAUGAUGAAGGAGAAGAAAACACAGGAAGUGAACUACAAAAUUUGUCUACUUCAAAUACUGGUUCUACAGAGCAUCCACCAGAGCAGAAAAGACCUCGAACUAUAUAAUGUAGUUCAUUUUUAUAUAAACUAUGUAAAAAAAAAAUACAAAUUAAAUUUUAAAAAUUAAAUAUAUAUGAAAAAUUUUUACUCAAAAAA